GUGCACCUGAGAAUUUUGAAUUUUUACUUGGAAUUGUUAUUUGGUAUGAUAUUUUAUUUGCUAUUAAUAUGGUAAGCAAAAAGUUGCAAUCAAAAUCUAUGUGCAUUGAAACUACAAUGACCCAAUUAGAAGGUGUAAUGAAUUUUUUUGAGAAAUAUAGAAAUGAAGGGUUUGCUACUAGUAUGAAUA